UAACGAGAGGCGGCGUUCUGUUGGCGGCUGCGGCCUUCCUCUUCUGUUCCUGGGACUGCGGGCGUUUCUGCAGCUCUCGCUGGUUUCUAUUGUCAGUCAGUCAGUCACUGAGCUCCGGCCAUGGCCCGCUCACUCGCGCCCUCUCCCGCUCUCUCUCGCUCGCUCGCUCUCCGUGGAGCGCGCACCUUCGCUCGCUCGCGCUCACGCCGUCACCCAAACCAGCCGUUCACUCACAGCCCAACAUGCUACCCUCACCGCUCCGCCUCGCGCACACGCCCACGGGCCAGGGGAGGAGGAGGAGGAGGCGGAGCCGUUAAGGCUGCGCGCGACGCUCCUGUCAUUGAAGUACGACGCGCGGCCUCAUUGGGCAAGAAAAAUCACUCAAACAGGACUUCCUCGCGCCGCUCCCGCAGUUGUUGUUGGGUAGGCCCUCGGGGUGGUCGUGUUGACGGGGAUAUGGGGGGACGGGGGAUGGGGGGACGGGAAGAGUCACGCCGAGAGGAGGAAGAGCUCCCUGUGGUAAAGUGUACAAGGCGAUUAAAGGACGCUCGCUGCAAAACUUGAACGGCUCUCCGGCUGACGGACUUGCGGAGAAAGGUCCGGUUUUUCCCCUGGAAUUGCCAUGGGAAUCUCUUUACCCGGAUGCGGAGGCACGAGAGGAGCUCCGGCAACAAGAGUUCCGCGCGCCGCCCGCCUCAGUGAAUGAGCAAAAAGCUUUGCUAAGUUUGGAUUCUUCUCCUCUUCCCUCCCUCCCAAAAAAAACUGUUAUAAGAAAAUUGACUGAAGCGAACCGAGAACUUCCUGGGGGGUUGCGUGUUUUGUAGGGUACCACAAUCGCUUCUCUGCGCCAAGGACCAGCUUCUUCUGUGUGGUUCUUUUCAAACAGGAAAUGUGUUGCCGCCUGUCGUCUAUUAUCUUUUGAAAGUGGAAGAUUUAAUGCAGGUAAUGUUGCCUUGAAAUUCAGAAGCCCUGAAUUUGGCAUGGAGUUGAUAAGAAUUUGAUCCCUGAAUUUGAGAGAGACCUUUGUGAUGUGGCUUCUUCACCUAACCAAAAAUUCGAAUGGCCAAGUAAUCCAGGCAAAGCAAAAAGCACUUAUUAAAGGGGGUUAAAAGUUUUUACUGGGUACUUAUAGAAACAAAUGGUAUCCAUAGUCACUGUAUGUGGUACCUCAGAAAACAAGUGAUCAAACAAUAAAACUGAUCAG